GCCCGCCUAGCUCAAUCGGAUAGAGCGUCAGACUUUUACGAGUCUUUCAGGCAGUGGGGCAUCUGAAGGCUGCGAGUUCGACCCUCGCGGUGGGCU